UACAGAGGUCUCAAGCGUUGUUCGGAUUCAUUGGGCGUAAAGGGUGCGUAGGCGGCGCGGUAAGUCGGGUGUGAAAUCUCGGAGCUUAACUCCGAAACUGCAUUCGAUACUGCCGUGCUUGAGGACUGGAGAGGAGACUGGAAUUUACGGUGUAGCGGUGAAAUGCGUAGAUAUCAGGAGGAACACCCGUGGCUAAGGCGGCUCUCUAGUACGGUACUGACGCUGAGACGCGAAAGCGUGGGGAGCGAACAGG
rnacentral:rRNA from 1 species